CUAGUUGGUGAGGUAAGGGCUCACCAAGGCGACGAUCCCUAGCUGGUCUGAGAGGAUGAUCAGCCACACUGGAACUGAGACACGGUCCAGACUCCUACGGGAGGCAGCAGUGGGGAAUAUUGCACAAUGGGCGCAAGCCUGAUGCAGCCAUGCCGCGUGUGUGAAGAAGGCCUUCGGGUUGUAAAGCACUUUCAGUCGUGAGGAAGGUAGUGUAGUUAAUAGCUGCAUUAUUUGACGUUAGCGACAGAAGAAGCACCGGCUAACUCCGUGCCAGCAGCCGCGGUAAUACGGAGGGUGCGAGCGUUAAUCGGAAUUACUGGGCGUAAAGCGCAUGCAGGUGGUUUGUUAAGUCAGAUGUGAAAGCCCGGGGCUCAACCUCGGAAUAGCAUUUGAAACUGGCAGACUAGAGUACUGUAGAGGGGGGUAGAAUUUCA
rnacentral:rRNA from 1 species